AGGACGAACGCUGGCGGCGUGCUUAACACAUGCAAGUCGAGCGGAAAGGCCCUUCGGGGUACUCGAGCGGCGAACGGGUGAGUAACACGUGAGCAACCUGCCCCUGGCUCUGGGAUAGCCUUCGGAAACGGGGAUUAAUACCGGAUAUUCACUGCUUCCUGCAUGGGGGGUGGUGGAAAGUUUUUCGGCUGGGGUGGGCUCGCGGCCUAUCAGCUUGUUGGGGGGGUGACGGCCCACCAAGGCGACGACGGGUAGCCGGCCUGAGAGGGCGACCGGCCACACUGGGACUGAGACACGGCCCAGACUCCUACGGGAGGCAGCAGUGGGGAAUAUUGCGCAAUGGGCGGAAGCCUGACGCAGCGACGCCGCGUGCGGGAUGAAGGCCUUCGGGUUGUAAACCGCUUCACCAGGACGAAGCGAGAGUGACGGUACCGUGGGGAAGAAGCGCCGGCUAACUACGUGCCAGCAGCCGC
rnacentral:rRNA from 1 species